rnacentral:rRNA from 1 species
UACAGAGGUGGCAAGCGUUGUUCGGAAUUACUGGGCGUAAAGGGCGCGUAGGCGGUUCGUUAAGUCCUGUGUGAAAUCCCCCGGCUCAACUGGGGAACUGCACAGGAAACUAGCGGGCUUGAGUUCGGGAGAGGGAAGCGGAAUUCCGGGUGUGGCGGUGAAAUGCGUAGAUAUCGGAAGGAACAUCAGUGGCGAAAGCGGCUUCCUGGACCAGUACCGACGUUCAGGCACGAAAGCGUGGGGAGCAAACAGG